rnacentral:sRNA from 1 species
CAGCUUGGCAGUCUGGAGGUGGCGCAGCCACUUCUGGGUGCUGUAAUGUCAAAGAAGCAGAGAGGCAGGAGGUGCUCUUGUCAGUAAAACGGAGUUUGUUAGCAGAAACGCCUGAACCAAGGAAUGGUUUGAGAGACUGAAAACGCUUUGCAGAUAUUCUUGGGGUGUUAGGAUCUUGUUAGAAAAGAGGGAGAAGACAAGGUAGGGCGUGAAAGUUUAUGGGAAUUGUAGUUUUGUGUUCUGUGGCGGUCUGGAGACGGAAAUCAUGAGACUGCCGCCUAGUGGCAGAUAUGAGGACAUCAGGCUCUGCAUUUAACCUGCUGUUUUUCCCAAGCCAGGGUUUCAAGGUCAACUAAAAAGGCUGAUUCCCACCAGGAUUCUCAUGACCUUCAUAAGAGCACCGGCAAGGUGUAACAUGGAUUGGAGAAGAGGAGAUUUUAAGUAUGCCAUAUGUAUGCAGUACCAACAGAGACCAGAAGAGGGCGGCAGACCCCCUGUAACUAGAGUUACUGACAGUUGGGAGCUGUCAUGUGGAUGAUGGAAACUGAACUUGGGUCUUUUGCAAGAGGAGCCGGUGGUCUUAACUGCUGAGCCAUCCUCUUGUUUUCGAGACAAAUUUUCAUGUAUUCCAUGUUGGCUUGAAACUCACUAUGCAGUCAAAAAUGGCUCUCAACUCCUGA